rnacentral:rRNA from 1 species
AUUGAACGCUGGCGGCAGGCCUAACACAUGCAAGUCGAGCGGAUGAAGGGAGCUUGCUCCUGGAUUCAGCGGCGGACGGGUGAGUAAUGCCUAGGAAUCUGCCUGGUAGUGGGGGAUAACGUCCGGAAACGGGCGCUAAUACCGCAUACGUCCUGAGGGAGAAAGUGGGGGAUCUUCGGACCUCACGCUCUCAGAUGAGCCUAGGUCGGAUUAGCUAGUUGGUGGGGUAAAGGCCUACCAAGGCGACGAUCCGUAACUGGUCUGAGAGGAUGAUCAGUCACACUGGAACUGAGACACGGUCCAGACUCCUAAGGGAGGCAGCAGUGGGGAAUAUUGGACAAUGGGCGAAAGCCUGAUCCAGCCAUGCCGCGUGUGUGAAGAAGGUCUUCGGAUUGUAAAGCACUUUAAGUUGGGAGGAAGGGCAGUAAGUUAAUACCUUGCUGUUUUGACGGUACCAACAGAAUAAGCACCGGCUAACUUCGUG